UGACUCGGUGUGUGAUCUCUUACCGUUUUAUGGAUAAGAGAUCAACCAUUGAGAUCCAA
rnacentral:pre_miRNA from 1 species